GGAGUCAGCCAGGCAAUCGCUGCUUUAUCGUAGUCCCUCCGGGAGACGGGUAAAGGGGAGGAAAGUCCGGGCUCCACAGGGCAGGGUGCCAGAUAACGUCUGGGAGGCGCGAGCCUACGACCAGUGCAACAGAGAGCAAACCGCCGAUGGCCCACGUAAGUGGGAUCAGGUAAGGGUGAAAGGGUGCGGUAAGAGCGCACCGCGCGGCUGGUAACAGUCCGUGGCACGGUAAACUCCACCCGGAGCAAGGCCAAAUAGGGGUUCAUAUGGUGCGGCCCGCACUGAACCCGGGUAGGCUGCUUGAGCCAGUGCGUGAGUGCUGGCCCAGAGGAAUGAUUGUCCACGACAGAACCCGGCUUAACGGCUGACUCCUCAC
rnacentral:RNase_P_RNA from 1 species